rnacentral:rRNA from 1 species
CGGGGUGAGUACAACAUAGGAAAUCUGCCUUAGGGUGGGGGACAACAGAGGGAAACUUCUGCUAAUACCCCAUAUGAGCUUGGUUGAAAUACCAAUCUCGAAAGUUCCGGCGCCCUAAGAUGAGCCUGUGCCUGAUUAGCUAGUUGGUGGUGUAAUGGACUACCAAGGCGACGAUCAGUAGCUGGUUUGAGAGGAUGAUCAGCCACAAUGGGACUGAGACACGGCCCAUACUCCUACGGAAGGCAGCAG